rnacentral:rRNA from 1 species
UACAGAGGGUGCGAGCGUUAAUCGGAAUUACUGGGCGUAAAGGGUGCGUAGGUGGUUUUGUAAGUAACAUGUGAAAGUCCUGAGCUUAACUUGGGGAUUGCAUGUUAAACUGCAAAGCUAGAGUGUUGUAGAGGAUAGCGGAAUUUCCGGUGUAGCGGUGAAAUGCGUAGAUAUCGGAAGGAACAUCAGUGGCGAAGGCGGCUAUCUGGACAACAACUGACACUGAGGCACGAAAGCGUGGGGAGCAAACAGGAUUAGAUACCCUGGUAGUCCACGCUGUAAACGAUGAUAACUGGUUGUUGGAUGCGAGAGCAUUUAGUAACGAAGCAAACGCGUUAAGUUAUCCGCCUGGGGAGUACGGCCGCAAGGUUAAA